CUGAUUUACCAUUUUGGAUUGUGUCUAGAACGGACGAACAAAACGCCGCUGUUUGGAUAUAACGAUGGAUUAUUUGGGACCAAACCAACAUUUGUUAUUGAAGUAGAAGUCCUGGGAGUGCAUUCUGACGAAGAACAGGAAAGGAUUCAACUGGCUGUUACGUAGGUGGGACGAUUUGGUGCCACCUGCCCUAGAGAGGUUAACCGGCGCGUUACAACCCCCGGGGAAUUGGUCAAAGCAUAUAGAACUGCUGGAAACCGUGCACGGGCGGAUCCAGGAUCCGUAAGACAAAGACCUGACCUUUGAAUUGAGGGUUUAUUUCAGGCCAGUGGUGAACUGGUACACGACAGAGGUGGUGACGAGAUCCAAC
rnacentral:lncRNA from 1 species